GCUUGUCUCAAAGAUUAAGCCAUGCAUGUCUAAGUAUAAGUAUUAUACAGCGAAACUGCGAAUGGCUCAUUAAAACAGUUAUGGUUUAUUUGAUAAUCGAAUUUUACAUGGAUAACCGUGGUAAUUCUAGAGCUAAUACAUGCUGGUGUGCCUGACUUUUCGGAAGGGCGGUAUUUAUUAGAUAACGAACCAAUAUUCCUCGUGUCUAUUGUGAUGACUCAUAAUAACUGAUCGAAUCGCAUGGGCCUUGCCCGCGAUACAUCAUUCAAGUUUCUGCCCCAUCAGCUUUCGAUGGUAGUGUAUUGGACUACCAUGGCUUUAACGGGUAACGGAGGAUUAGGGUUCGAUUCCGGAGAGGGAGCCUGAGAAACGGCUACCACAUCUAAGGAAGGCAGCAGG
rnacentral:rRNA from 1 species